rnacentral:rRNA from 1 species
UCGUACGCGAAAGGGGCUUCGGCCCUGAGUAGAGUGGCAAACGGGUGAGUAACACGUGGGUGACCUGCCUUCGAGUGGGGGAUAACGUCCCGAAAGGGACGCUAAUACCGCAUGACAUCCUGCUCUUGGACGAGCGGAGAUCAAAGCCGGGGAUCGCAAGACCUGGCGCUUGAAGAGGGGCCCGCGCCUGAUUAGCUAGUUGGUGGGGUAAUGGCUCACCAAGGCAACGAUCAGUAUCCGGCCUGAGAGGGCGGACGGACACACUGGGACUGAGACACGGCCCAGACUCCUACGGGAGGCAGCAGUGGGGAAUUGUUCGCAAUGGGCGCAAGCCUGACGACGCAACGCCGCGUGGAGGAUGAAGAUCUUCGGGUCGUAAACUCCUGUCGAGCGGGACGAACACCUGCCGGGCUAACAUCCAGGCAGGCUGACGGUACCGCUAAAGGAAGCCCCGGCUAACUCCGUGCCAGCAGCCGCGGUAAUACGGGGGGGGCAAGCGUUG